GAGUUUGAUCAUGGCUCAGAUUGAACGCUGGCGGCAGGCCUAACACAUGCAAGUCGAGCGGUAACAGAGAGUNGCUUGNNACUUUGCUGACGAGCGGCGGACGGGUGAGUAAUGCUUGGGAACAUGCCUUGAGGUGGGGGACAACAGUUGGAAACGACUGCUAAUACCGCAUAAUGUCUACGGACCAAAGGGGGCUUCGGCUCUCGCCUUUAGAUUGGCCCAAGUGGGAUUAGCUAGUUGGUGAGGUAAUGGCUCACCAAGGCAACGAUCCCUAGCUGGUUUGAGAGGAUGAUCAGCCACACUGGGACUGAGACACGGCCCAGACUCCUACGGGAGGCAGCAGUGGGGAAUAUUGCACAAUGGGCGCAAGCCUGAUGCAGCCAUGCCGCGUGUGUGAAGAAGGCCUUCGGGUUGUAAAGCACUUUCAGUCAGGAGGAAAGGUUAGUAGUUAAUACCUGCUAGCUGUGACGUUACUGACAGAAGAAGCACCGGCUAACUCCGUGCC
rnacentral:rRNA from 1 species